GAAAAGAAAGGGAGCGACCGAGAGGAGGGCGAGGGGACGCCGGAGCCCAGGGCCGGAGAGAGCCGGGCCGAGCGGGGGGCGGGAGACAGGAAACGGGACGGGAAGAGGUGGCCUCGGGGGGAGAGCGCCUCCCCUUCGCCUUCAGCGCUCCCUUCCCCGUCGCCCCGCUCCCGCGUCCGGGCGCGACCGCCACCGCCACCGCCGCCCGCCAGCAUGCCCGGCGUGGCCCGCCCGCCGCUGCCGCUGCUGUCGCUGCCGCUGCUACUGCUGCUGCUGCUGCUCCCGCGCGCCGGCCGGCCGCUGGACUUGGCCGACUACACCUACGACCUGGGCGAGGAGGACGCCCCGGAGCUCCUCAACUACAAAGACCCUUGCAAGGCGGCUGCCUUCCUUGGGGACAUUGCCCUGGAUGAGGAGGACUUGAGGGCCUUCCGGGUGCAGCAGGCUGCAGUUCUCAGACAGCAAACAGCCCGAAGGUCAUCCAUCAAAGCUGCAGGAAACUCUUCUGCCCUGGGUGGUCAGGGCACUAGUGGACAGCCGCAGAGGGAAAGCAGGGGCAGAUGGAGAGGCAGGCCUCGGAGCAGGCGGGCAGCGACGUCCAGACCUGAGCGGGUGUGGCCCGAUGGGGUCAUCCCGUUUGUGAUUGGAGGGAAUUUCACCGGCAGCCAGAGGGCAGUCUUCCGGCAGGCCAUGAGACACUGGGAGAAGCAUACCUGUGUCACCUUCUUGGAGCGCACAGAUGAGGACAGCUAUAUUGUAUUCACCUACCGACCCUGCGGGUGCUGCUCCUACGUGGGUCGCCGAGGUGGGGGCCCCCAGGCCAUCUCCAUCGGCAAGAACUGUGACAAGUUUGGCAUCGUGGUCCAUGAGCUGGGCCAUGUCAUUGGCUUCUGGCACGAGCACACGCGGCCCGACCGGGACCGCCAUGUCUCUAUUGUACGGGAGAACAUACAGCCAGGGCAGGAGUAUAACUUCUUGAAGAUGGAGGUUCAAGAAGUGGAGUCCUUGGGAGAGACCUAUGACUUUGACAGUAUCAUGCACUAUGCCCGGAAUACAUUCUCCAGGGGCAUCUUCUUGGACACCAUUGUUCCCAAGUAUGAGGUGAACGGGGUGAAGCCUUCCAUUGGCCAAAGGACCCGACUCAGCAAGGGGGACAUCGCUCAGGCCCGGAAGCUCUACAAAUGCCCAGCCUGUGGCGAGACCCUCCAAGACAGCACCGGCAACUUCUCCUCCCCUGAGUACCCCAACGGCUACUCUGCCCACAUGCACUGUGUAUGGCGCAUCUCCGUCACACCUGGGGAGAAGAUUAUUCUAAACUUCACAUCCAUGGACCUGUACCGUAGCCGCCUGUGCUGGUAUGACUAUGUGGAGGUGCGGGAUGGCUUCUGGAGAAAGGCGCCCCUCCGAGGUCGGUUCUGUGGGGGCAAACUCCCUGAGCCCAUCGUUUCCACUGACAGCCGCCUCUGGGUGGAAUUCCGAAGCAGCAGCAACUGGGUUGGAAAGGGCUUCUUUGCUGUCUAUGAAGCCAUUUGCGGUGGCGAUGUGAAAAAGGAUAAUGGCCAUAUCCAGUCACCCAAUUACCCAGACGAUUACCGGCCCAGCAAAGUCUGCAUCUGGCGGAUCCAGGUGUCUGAGGGUUUCCACGUGGGCCUCACGUUCCAGUCCUUUGAGAUUGAGCGUCACGACAGUUGUGCCUAUGACUACCUGGAAGUCCGUGAUGGGCACAGCGAGAGCAGCAACCUCAUUGGGCGCUACUGUGGCUAUGAGAAGCCUGAUGACAUCAAAAGCACAUCCAGUCGGCUCUGGCUCAAGUUCGUCUCUGACGGGUCCAUUAACAAAGCGGGCUUCGCCGUCAACUUUUUCAAAGAGGUGGAUGAGUGUUCAAGACCCAACCGUGGGGGCUGUGAGCAGCGGUGCCUGAAUACCCUGGGCAGCUACAAGUGCAGCUGUGACCCUGGCUAUGAGCUGGCCCCAGACAAGCGUCGGUGUGAGGCUGCCUGUGGUGGAUUCCUCACCAAGCUCAAUGGCUCCAUCACCAGCCCCGGUUGGCCCAAAGAGUACCCUCCCAACAAAAACUGCAUCUGGCAGUUGGUGGCCCCCACCCAGUACCGUAUCUCCCUGCAAUUUGACUUCUUCGAGACUGAGGGCAAUGAUGUGUGCAAGUAUGACUUCGUGGAGGUGCGCAGUGGACUCACGGCGGACUCUAAGCUGCAUGGCAAGUUCUGCGGCUCCGAGAAGCCAGAGGUCAUCACUUCCCAGUACAACAAUAUGCGUGUGGAGUUCAAGUCUGACAAUACUGUGUCCAAAAAGGGCUUCAAGGCCCACUUCUUUUCAGAAAAGAGGCCAGCUCUGCAGCCCCCUCGGGGACGCCCCCACCAGCUCAAAUUCCGAGUGCAGAAAAGAAACCGGACCCCCCAAUGAGGCCUGCCAGGCCCCCAGACCCUUCAUUACUCAGGAAGCUCACCUCGGACGGAGUGGGCUGGGGGCUUCGGAGCCCACCCGUUCCCUGCCUCCACUCUGCCAUUCCGGCCGCCUCCUUUGGCUGGACAGAACUGGUGCUCUCCUCUUCCCCCCGCCCCCUCCCAUUUUGAUGGUGUCUGUGACAUUUCCUGUUGUGAAGUAAAAGAGGGACCCCUGCGUCCUGCUCCUUUCUCUUGCAGUCUGCUUGUCCCUGUGUCUGUUUUUCCACUUGUCCGUCUGUCCAGUAAGCAGGUAAUGGUAGAGGUUCCCAUGCUGGUCAGCUCCAGACCCCAGCCCUCCCUCCACCCUUCUGCCCACCUCUACCUUCUCUGCCCAGAGCGGAGGCCCACCCAGCUGGCCCCACUGAAGCAGUGACCAGAGCUCCAUCGUCACCCUCACCUCCCACUCUGCACCCAGCUCCCCUGUGCGAGCACACCCUCCCACAGGAGGAAGCCCCAGCAGGCCUCCCACUUCCCCUGGGGUGAGCAGACCUCAGCCCACACAGACCCACUGCUCUUGUUUGCACCCUACAGACAAGGAUGAAUGUUCCAAGGACAAUGGUGGCUGCCAGCAAGACUGUGUGAACACAUUCGGCAGCUACGAGUGUCAGUGCCGCAGUGGCUUCGUCCUUCACGACAACAAACAUGACUGUAAAGAAGCUGGCUGUGAACACAAGGUGACAUCCACCAGUGGCACCAUCACCAGCCCCAACUGGCCUGACAAGUACCCCAGCAAGAAGGAGUGUACGUGGGCUAUCUCCAGCACCCCUGGGCACCGGGUAAAGCUGACUUUCGUGGAGAUGGAUAUUGAGUCUCAGCCCGAGUGUGCUUAUGACCACCUGGAGGUGUUCGAUGGACGUGAUGCCAAGGCGCCAGUCCUUGGCCGAUUCUGUGGCAGUAAGAAGCCCGAGCCAGUCCUGGCUACAGGCAACCGCAUGUUCUUGCGCUUCUACUCAGACAACUCAGUACAGAGGAAAGGUUUCCAGGCAUCCCACUCCACAGAGUGUGGGGGCCAAGUGCGGGCAGAUGUGAAGACCAAAGACCUUUAUUCCCAUGCCCAGUUCGGCGAUAACAACUACCCUGGAGGGGUGGACUGCGAGUGGGUCAUCGUGGCCGAGGAAGGCUAUGGCGUGGAGCUGGUGUUCCAGACCUUCGAGGUGGAGGAGGAGACUGACUGUGGCUAUGACUACAUAGAGCUCUUUGAUGGCUACGACAGCACAGCUCCCAGACUGGGGCGCUACUGUGGUUCUGGGCCUCCCGAGGAAGUGUACUCGGCGGGAGAUUCUGUCCUGGUGAAGUUCCACUCUGACGACACCAUCUCCAAGAAAGGCUUCCACCUGCGGUACACAAGCACCAAGUUCCAGGACACACUCCACAGCAGGAAGUGACCUCUGCCCCUGCUUGGUAGCGGGAACUGGAGUCCUGCUUCCCUCAAUCACCCAGACUGGACAGCAGGGGUGACAGGCAGAUGGUGACACAUUGUCCCUCACCCCCAGGCACCAGGGCCAGUGGGCCAGGUGUCAACAGGAGGCAGGGGACUUGGACUCCCUGUAAGCCAGUUCCCCACGUCCUCCCGUCAGUGGGGCUGGGGAACCUGAGCUUUCACUGAGACACUUGAAGUGACCAUUCCUCCUUGGGACCCUGCCUGGGGUAAGACAGUCUCUGUGCAGGACCCUGUGGGCUUCUCUGCCGUCUCUACACACUGUAUUGUGUAUAGCCGGUGUCCCUAAUCUUUAUUGUAACGUACAUUUCCUGCCCCUUCUCCAGCCUCGAUUUGGUUUUAUUUUGACCCACCACUUCUAUGCUUCCUGGGUAUCCCCUGGGAGCCGUGAUGGGGAGCUAGAGAAGAGGGAGUGGAUGAAUAAGACAGGGCUUCUCUUAGGCCCACUGGCUCAUCAGCCACACCAGGGCACCCCAGCCAAUAAACAGAAAGUGUUACAGCCAA